rnacentral:rRNA from 1 species
UACGAAGGGGGCUAGCGUUGUUCGGAAUCACUGGGCGUAAAGGGCGCGUAGGCGGCCGAUCAAGUCGGGGGUGAAAGCCUGUGGCUCAACCACAGAAUUGCCUUCGAUACUGUUUGGCUUGAGACCGGAAGAGGUUAGUGGAACUGCGAGUGUAGAGGUGAAAUUCGUAGAUAUUCGCAAGAACACCAGUGGCGAAGGCGGCUGACUGGUCCGGUUCUGACGCUGAGGCGCGAAAGCGUGGGUAGCAAACAGG